CACUCAAACUCAGGCCAGUCAAAUUAAUUUUCACGUAGUCAAUUAAUUUUAUGGCAACUACGUGUUUUAUUCGCAAAUGAAGUCAUUAAGGGGCAUUUCUUAAUCAAAUCGAAGUAAAUUUACGAGUCAAUAAAACUAAUUUAUGCACUAAAGCCACAAAUCAGCCUAUCCACAAACAUAUAUCAGGCAUAUCAGCUGUCAUAAAUAUUGAGGACAACCAAAAUCCCGCGAAAUAACAAUAAUAAAAAUAAACUAAAAUAACACGACCAAACAAAAAAAGAAAAACAAUUUAAAUCAUCAACAAGCAAAUCUAGAAUAAAGCCGGAAACAAUUCGCUCUACCAUAGACAUAAACAAGCCUGAAUUACAAUUUUUUUUCUUACCACACGUGCGUGCAACGGGCCAGAACGGCGCACGCCUUCUGCCACAUGCCACGCCCUGUAGCUGCGCCUCUGCCCAAGCGAAUGGGACACGGCUAACAAGUUGCGCCAAUUAACAAAGCAGCCGAAAAGCAAAGCGAAAACAUAAUCAAAGUGGCCGAAAACAGGACGAGGACAAAAGGCUGUACGCAUCGAAGUGCCCAUAAGCUGAGAGGGUGUGGGUGAGGGCAGGGCAGCGAAGAAGGGAGGGACAGCUAAGCUUUGGCUAGAAUAACAAGACGCAAAUGGCCGAUUCCUUUGGUGGCGUGUCAGGCAAACAUAUAAUAUGGCAACAGGAUAAGAAUCUGUCCAUUCGAGCGAGCUCAUUUUCAUGCAAGAGCCCAAAUGAGGAAUUAUGAAUGCCCAAACCCGUUAAGGAUAAGAGGUUGCCCCCAAAGCUGCCGCCAGCUCUGUUUAGUGGCCAAGAUUGGCAUCUUUGUUCCACUAAUUGUUAGUUAUGACUGUUUUCUUCUUCAGCCUCCCAAUGCCGUUAGGCGACAGCCUGUGUCUUCGGGGCACGAGAUGCUUCCCGCCAUCUGUGCGCAGCUAUGCAGCCAGAUAAAUCACUUUGGAGCACAGAUCUCCUUGGGCUGGCUCCACUUUUGACGCCAUUACCAGCAAUUGUUAAUCUGAUUACCACGAUACAUAUAGAACUUACAGAAACACCAAAACUUUGCAGUGAGUGAGCAAGACUUCAGACUAAACUUACCAGAAGACAUAUUAUGUGAAACAAUUUAUCUAAUAUUGGGAAAAAAAUCAAAUUAUAUUUGCGAUAAGUGUGAUUUUAGUACGAAAUCCUAUUUUAUACUAAAAUGUUUUCUAUUUUCUAGCAAAAUCAACAUCGCCUGCGAAUGAAACAGUCAAUAAUUCCCAGAUGAACCUUUCAUGCUUGUUCAAUCACACAAAAGGUAUAGAUUGAUUGGGUGAGCUUUAAUUUCUGAAGAAUAACUCAACAUCAACUCCGGUCCACGCAAGCACUGGCCUCCACUGCCUCCAGCUGCUGCUGCACCGAUAUGAAACCUUUCUUUUGGUCGUGCUCAGCAUGAAUCGAAAGAGAUUGGUUAAUUUAGGAAUCUUCAAUCAAUCCUAUUAUUUUCGGACAAACCCCAAAAGGCACAUUUAUCCGGCAUCGACCUUCAUUUGCCCGAGAAAUAUGCAUUUAAUAAUGCAUAUACCAAAUAUUUAAGUCACACAUAAGACCAAAUAAGCAACAAUUAUUAUAAGUUUUAUUAUUUUUGUAUAGUUGAAAGAUUUGUCAAAAUUUAUAGUUACUAAUUUUAUAUUUAUGUAAAUA